AUGUAAUGGUUCUACAAUAUAUGAAGGUGUCACGUAAUGAAUGAAACUACGGAAAAAAUGUCACGAUACUCUACAUGCACCUGUGAGAUGCACCUGCAGUCAGUCGCCGGCCGAAAUUGACGUUUUAAACGUUAUUUCUAUUUAAAUGUUGUUGUUUUUUAAAGAUACAUCUGUAUUAUGAAUCUGACUGACUGGCUAGCUAACCUUUCUCGCAAUUUUAAGGUUUCCCAAAGAGAAGCAGUUGAGGAGACAGUGGGAAGUGGCUGUGAAAAGGGAAGACUUUUCUGCCAAUGAGAGGUCAAUGCUCUGUAGCCAGCACUUUCAGCCGGAGGAUUAUGACCGGACAGGCCAAAAUGUCAGGCUCAGGGAUGGAACUAAACCAUCUGUGUUCAGUUUCCCAACACAUCUCAAAAGAAAAGUGGCAGCCAGGACUACACAAGCCUCAAGGAAGGCUGAAGCGAGCCUUGUAAUUGACUGUUCUUUACAAUCAUUACAAGUCACUGAACCUUCACCUACCUACCUUGAACACACUUAUGCAUUGCCUCCAUCUCCCACUCUUCUCAAGACUAGACUCAAUGAAGCCCUGGCUAGGGUGGAGAGUCUUGAGAAAGAGAUGAGGAACUCAAAGGCCCGAGAGCGGAGGGCGAAGAAAACAGUGCGUUGUCUUCUGGAGGACCUCAGGGGGAAGAACCUCAUAAAUGAAGAGCUGCAAGAGAGGCUUGACUUAUACUCAGGUAACAUUGAAAUUAAACUUUGAAUGUCAUGUAUAUCUUAGGGCUGUAACCAAAGAAAUACAACUGCAAUAAUGUGUUCAAAUGCUUGGCUUGUCUGAAUUUCAUAUAUCAAACUUAAACUCCAAAUACCUGACAACGUCUGUAAUAUGCCCCCAUUCAUAGU